ACUUGGGGAUCUGGGGGAAAUGAACCUUCAGAGAAGAGAUAGCAUUUAAGUUGAGAUCCAUAAGCAAAGAGCAAUGUGAAAAUUAAAAAUGGCACAGAGGUACUAAGGUGGGCAAUGUUCGGAUCAUUGCUGCAAUCUCAGGCUGUGUUUGCUGAACGAAUGAAUUGGGAUGGAUGAACUUCCUCAAGGAGAGAUAUGGAAACAGAAGCGAAUGAUUUAAAAAAAACAUUUAUUGAAAGCUCCUAUGUGCAGGACAUUGUAUUGAACACUAGAGGGUGAUGCAAAGCAGGAAAAAGAAAAAAGCAUGACUUCAUGAGUCUGAUUUUCCCCAACGGAGCUCUACCUUGGGAAAUGAGCGAAAAUGCUCGAGUUGACUCAAGGCCUGAUGGUUAAUGUUUUAAGAGAGACACCAGUUUCAUUUCUCUUAUUUAAUAUACAUCCAGAGCAGGUUGUUGGGGCCAAUAAAGGACACAGUCCUGGACAGGGGGAGGAAGAUAACUGUUUCUGGAAAGAGGUCUGUUUUAGCCAAAGACCAAUCUUAAAAAGGGAGCAACAGAAGCACUCGGGAGGCGGCAUUAGUGGGAAGGGGCAGCCAGUUAGAAUAUUGAACUCUCUGGAAUAACACAAGACUGCUGGUCACCUUAAGUCAAUAAUGUCACAAACAGAAUUAGAAGAACCAAUCCACUUUGCUAACAGAGCACGGCCCCUAGGGAUGUGGGCGAGAGGGCCAAUCGAUUCUGGCGGGGUGCUAUCGCUAUGGCGCUAGCACAACUUCGCUAUCACUAGAAGGAGCCAAUGAGAAAGAAGUUGUCAUCUCAGGUGAAUUUCUCCCAGAGGAGAAGGAAAUUGAAAUGAGUUUCUAGAUGUUGUCUUCUACUAUCGGCUUCUCUGAAAACUGUGGAGUGAUCAGGUGAAGAGAUUCUACACUCUUGUGCAUUUUGAAAGGCCAGGAAUGUGAGUGCCUGGGAUUUCUGGUGUCUGGGUUUUUAGCAUCGGUGUUGAGAGGAGCAAGGAACAACCUUUGAGAAUGACCUAUAGAGCUCAGUCCAGCAGCAGCUGAGACCAGGACUCAUCCAACAACAAAACUAUAUUUGAAUAUGAGCUUGGUGGGGCCAAUGUUAUGUAGGAACUGAGCGAAGUGGGUUAAGGGAGAAUGUGUCCCUGAGGUGUUGAGGGGGAGGCAAGUGUA